AGGGGUGCAGCUCAGUUAUAGAGCUCCUGCUUUGUAUGCAAGAUACCCUAGGUUCAAACCCAGCAACCCCU
rnacentral:tRNA from 1 species